rnacentral:rRNA from 1 species
GACGAACGCUGGCGGCGUGCCUAAUACAUGCAAGUCGAACGAGAGCGACCGGUGCUUGCACUGGUCAAUCUAGUGGCGAACGGGUGAGUAACACGUGGGUAACCUGCCCAUCAGAGGGGGAUAACAUCCGGAAACGGAUGCUAAAACCGCAUAGGUCUUCGAACCGCAUGGUUUGAAGAGGAAAAGAGGCGCAAGCUUCUGCUGAUGGAUGGACCCGCGGUGCAUUAGCUAGUUGGUGAGGUAACGGCUCACCAGGGCCGUGAUGCAUAGCCGACCUGAGAGGGUGAUCGGCCACAUUGGGACUGAGACACGGCCCAAACUCCUAAGGGAGGCAGCAGUAGGGAAUCUUCCGCAAUGGACGCAAGUCUGACGGAGCAACGCCGCGUGAGUGAAGAAGGUUUUCGGAUCGUAAAACUCUGUUGUUAGAGAAGAACAAGUGCUAGAGUAACUGUUAGCGCCUUGACGGUAUCUAACCAGAAAGCCACGGCUAACUACGCG